AUUGAACGCUGGCGGCAGGCCUAACACAUGCAAGUCGAGCGAGCGGCGGACGGGUGAGUAAUGUCUGGGAAACUGCCUGAUGGAGGGGGAUAACUCCUGGAAACGGUAGAUAAUACCGCAUACCAUCAGAUGUGCCCAGAUGGGAUUAGCUAGUAGGUGGGGUAACGGCUCACAUAGGCGACGAUCCCUAGCUGGUCUGAGGGGAUGACCAGCGACACUGGAACUGAGACACGGUCCAGCCUCCUACGUGAGGCAGCAGUGGGGAUUAGUGGACAAGGGGCGAAAGCCUGAUGCAGCCAUGCCGCGUGUGUGAAGAAGGCCUUCGGGUUGUAAAGCACUUUCAGCGGGGAGGCGUUACCCGCAGAAGAAGCACCGGCUAACUCCGUGCCAGCAGCCGCGGUAAUAC
rnacentral:rRNA from 1 species